UAUAUAUAGUUAAUCUAGAUAAUUAAUUGGAAAAUUGAUGAGAGAAAAAAUUAUUUAAAAAAUGUUAAAAAUUGGGGAAACAAUGACUGAGGGGAAAUUCAAAUUUUUCUUGCGUUACACAUCCCACACUAUAAAAAAAAGUAAACGUUUUCUAGCUGAAUAUUAUAAGGAUUAUGAUUCAUUUGUAGAACACAGGGGCUUAACAAUUGGACUUAUAUCCAUGCUAGCAAUAUGUAUUAUGAUCGGACCAUUGGGAAAUAUCGCGAUCAUUGGAGGCAUAUAUACUAACAAAAAUUUGUGGAAACCGCUGAAUUUAUUCAUAAUAAAUUUAUCCAUAGCCGAUCUAGUAAUCGUUACCUUUAUCAGUUCUACAUCAAUUACAGGUCUAACGAUAGGCCAUCAAGUCUUUCUCCAAAAUCAUUCAUUAUGCAAUUUUGUUGCGAAUGUUUGCCUUACCGUAUGUGUUGUACAACUUUUAACCCACGCUGUUAUUGCAAUUACCAGGUAUAUCUCUAUUCGUUAUCCUGCGACCUUUAUGAAUAAUGCAACAUGGAGGGCUACUAGCAUGGCUUGUAUCCUCAUAUGGAUCGUAGGAUUUCUGCUUCAAUUCCCACCAAAUGUGGGUUGGGGAAGGAACGUUUUAGACAUCAAAGCCAUGAUCUGUAUAUGGGACAGGACAUAUUCCAUAGGAUACACCCUUUACUUUGCUAUAGUCUAUGUUUUCAUCCCGAUGAGCACUAUAUUUAUUUGUUAUGUCAUGCUUUUCUUACACGUCCGAAAAAUUCGACAAAACAUGAACACCCAACCGAAAAAUUAUCCAUUCAAAACUUACACAUCGAUGAGUAGGAGAAGAUGGAAGCAAGAAAUCAAACUAGCUAAAACACUAUGUGCCCAUUUUGCUACAGUGUUUAUACUAUGGGGACAAUACGCUUUCAUAGUGAUAUUCGAUUACCGCAAUAGGCUACCAACGUGGUUGCAUGCCACCUCUAUUCAAGUAGCCCAUUCGAUUGCUGUUGUCAAUGUUUUCGUUUACAUCUUUAAUAGUUCUUUCCAAGCUGGCAUGAUAGCUUUUUUCACUCGAAAACCCAUCAACCUCAUAUUAUCUGGAACGGGAUCAACAGAUGUUUUACCAAUAGACAUAUCAAAAUCUGAAUUUGGUACAGAAGAAGAAUGUUUAACCAAACUGUAAAACCAGUGAAACAAAAACAGGGCACGUUGGGCAUUGUUUUAUGGUACAUAGGAAUACUCAUGGGGCUCCAUCUAUAAAAUAUGGAAUGGGAAAUCGUUAUUAGAGCUAUUAAGUACAUUUUCUUCCAUUGAAUCUUCC